GGAGGCUGCAAGGCCAUUGUUAGCUAGUCUAGAAUCAGUGUGGGUAAACUUUAUCACCUUGUGCUUUUUUAACAAGGAGGCCAUCUCACCUCUGUAGUAACUAGCCUUAGACCAGGAGAUAGGAGCCUUUAAAAGGGCCUUCUUUGCUGCAUAUUCAGCUGGCAAAUACUCUACUAUAUCAAUAUCAUCCUUCAACGCUUCCAUGAAGUGUCUCCAGUCAAAAAUGUCUUUAAAAGUGCUUGGAUCUGUCCAAAAUGAUUCAUGAUCAAGAGAAGGUAGGACAAGAGUUGCAU
rnacentral:misc_RNA from 1 species